rnacentral:rRNA from 1 species
GACGAACCGUGCGAACGUUAUUCGGAAUCACUGGGCGUAAAGCGCACGUAGGCGGACUCUUAAGUCGGUGGUGAAAUCCUGGAGCUCAACUCCAGAACUGCCUUCGAUACUGAGAGUCUCGAGUCCGAGAGAGGUGAGUGGAACUGCGAGUGUAGAGGUGAAAUUCGUAGAUAUUCGCAAGAACACCAGUGGCGAAGGCGGCUCACUGGCUCGGUACUGACGCUGAGGUGCGAAAGCGUGGGGAGCAAACAGG